rnacentral:rRNA from 1 species
UACGAAGGGGGCUAGCGUUGCUCGGAAUCACUGGGCGUAAAGGGUGCGUAGGCGGGUCUUUAAGUCAGGGGUGAAAUCCUGGAGCUCAACUCCAGAACUGCCUUUGAUACUGAAGAUCUUGAGUUCGGGAGAGGUGAGUGGAACUGCGAGUGUAGAGGUGAAAUUCGUAGAUAUUCGCAAGAACACCAGUGGCGAAGGCGGCUCACUGGCCCGAUACUGACGCUGAGGCACGAAAGCGCUGGGGAGCAAACAGG